AUUGAUAGAUAUUAAGGUUCUAAAUAAUGUUAGAGAUAGAUUAAAUUAAUUAAAAUUUAAUUAGAAUUAGGUUUAGGAUUUAUUUGGAUUUAAUUUAAAAUUUAGGAUUUAUCUAAGAUUUUAUUUAGAAUUAAGGUUUGAUUUAGGAUUUGAUUUAAGAUUUAAGAUUUAUCUAAGGUUUGAUCUAGGAUUUAGAAUUUAGGAUUUAUUUAGGAUUUGAUUUAAGAUUUAGGAUUUGUCUAGAAUUAGGUCUAAGAUUUAAUAUUUGUCUUGGAUUUAAUCUAAGAUUUAAAGUUUGUUUAGGAUUUAAUUUAGAAUUUAAGAUUUGUUUGAGAUUGGAUUGAAGUAUAUUAGGAUUUCAACCAGGGUUAAAU
rnacentral:lncRNA from 1 species